CCUACGGGUGGCAGCAGUGAGGAAUAUUGGUCCAUGGCCGUAACGCUGACCCAGCCACGUCGCGUGAAGGACGAAGGAUCUCUGGUUUGUAAACUUCUUUUAUAGGGGAAUAAAGGUCUCCACGUGUGGAUAUUUGCCUGUACCCUAUGAAUAAGCAUCUGCUCACUCCGUGCCAGCAGCCGCGGUACUACGGAGGGUGCGAGCGUUAUCCGGAUUUCUUGGGUGUAAAGGGUGCGGAGGUUGUGUUUGAAGUCAGCGGUGAAAGUUUGUGGCUCAACCCUAAAAUUGCCGUUGAAACUGGAAGACUUGAGUGGAGGAGAGGUAGGCGGAA
rnacentral:rRNA from 1 species